GAAGCAAACGCGUCAAAAUCAUUACAAUCAGAGACAAACUUACAAUGGAAAUUCCUCAUUUGAAGAAUACUUUUCGUGAUUUUCGUUGUUCCAAGAUACAAAAGAGUGGUAUUUUAGUUCUUCAAGAACUCCAAGAAUAUUUAUUUGGCAAUCUGUAAUAGAUUUACGAAAUUGAAAACAAAGAAUGCCCGUUUCGUUGAAAUUUCGAUAAUAAAUCGAGAAGUGCCUGACGUUAUACCCAGAAAAUAAACAAGAUUGAAGGUUUUUAUCCACAUGCACCAUUCAAGAAACAGAUAUAAGUUACAGUCGCAAUGGAAUAUGGUGAUAUUGUGAUUUUUCUAGUUUCUACAAACAUCUUUCACACUCAAUCAGCAAAUGAAAGCAUUCAAGAGUUUAGCAACCUACAAAUACAAUAGCUUGCUCUUUAUCUAGGUUAGGCUAUAAAAUAUUUAGAACAAAGUGUUCGGGGAAAGUAUUUCACGCAAGGGUCGGCACAGAUGAAUUGGUGCACAUGUAGAAAACGGAAUUGUGACCAACCUGUGAUAAAAUGCUGAUAUAAGGAUUGUGAAAUUCUUUGGAUCCAUAUGAAAUUCCUCAGAUAGACCAUUGUUCCUGGCCUUUUGCUCUGCAGCGUUUGUACAGGCGGUAUAGAGACAGAAUGAAUAUUUUUUCAAAAUUAUAUUAUUAUUAUAAAUCUUAAUAAUAAUAAUAAUAUUAUGUAAUUUAGUUGUAUUAAAUACUCCUGAAAAGAUGCACUGUUUCAUUGAAAAGGUGUAUUCACUAUACAUAUGAAGCAGGAACAGUGUAAAAAUAUAAUCGGUGCAAAAUACAAUUCUUAAGAAAAUAAACAGCAUAAAUAUAAUGAGUAUAAAAAUGAUGCCUGGACUGGUCAGGUCCGCGAUCGCGAAGGGGCCCCCACAUAACGUAGAUAAAGAUAAUAAAUUAAGUAGCUUCAACAAGUAAGUUGCUCACAAAGAAGCUGUUACUUCAGACCAAGGGGAGUAAAAUAUUGAAGCAUGUUAGUUAAGCCCCUUCUAUUCUAGUAUGUAUAAUUUUAAUGGAACUAUUUGGGUGCAUGGCAAGUGGGGGCUAUAACAACAUUGUAAACUGUUAAACACACAUAUUUGUUUUUAAUUUAAGUAUUAUUUUUCUAAUCACUAAAAUUCGUUCUUCAUUACUUUUAUUACAAAAAUUAUUUUGACCUAAUUCAUUCAUACUCAUUUGAUGUGACUAAAAUACUGCAUUUCAGAACUGAAAACAGAUCCACUUCACCAUCACUGUACACUAAUGUUAAAUCCCAAAGGAAGAAAUCACAGGGGUUAAGAUCCGGGGAGCGUGCAGGCCUAGAAAUGGAUCCGCCAUUUCUAUCCACCUAUUAGGGAACACAUUAUUUAAAUAAUUUCGAACGUUUCUUCGAAAGUGGGCUGGUGCUCCAUCCAGUAACAACCACAUUUUCUGCCAAAUAUUUGGAGUAACAUCUUAUGGUAAUCCUGGCAAAUUGUUCUGGAGAAAAUGGAGAAAGUCUUCACCUGGCAUUCGUGGUGGUGGAAAAAUUGGCCCAAUAAGCAUUCCACACAGGAGUCCGAUCCAGACAUUCAAGGAAAACCUUUGAGGAAAAUCUGUUCUUCUGAUAGCUUGUGGAUUUUCUGUAGACAAUACAUGGGUAUUGUAGAAAUCGUUUUCUCCAUUUCUUGUGAAAGUGGCUUCGUCAAUAAACAGAAUACAUAUGAA